AGCAGCCGCGGUAAUUCCAGCUCCAAUAGCGUAUAUUAAAGUUGUUGCAGUUAAAAAGCUCGUAGUUGAAUUUCGGGAUCAAUUAAUUGGUCGUGCCUCUGGUACGUACUGAUUUUAUUGGUUUCUCCCUUCUGACGAACCAUGAUGUCAUUAAUUUGGUGUCGUGGAGAAUCAGGACUGUUACUUUGAAAAAUUAGAGUGUUUAAAGCAAGCUAACGCUUGAAUACAUUAGCAUGGAAUAAUGAAAUAGGACGUUUGAUCCUAUUUUGUUGGUUUCUAGGAUCGACGUAAUGAUUAAUAGGGAUAGUUGGGGGCAUUAGUAUUCAAUUGUCAGAGGUGAAAUUCUUGGAUUUAUUGAAGACUAACUACUGCGAAAGCAUUUGCCAAGGAUGUUUUCAUUAAUCAAGAACGAAAGUUAGGGGAUCGAAGACGAUCAGAUACCGUCGUAGUCUUAACCAUAAACUAUGCCGACUA
rnacentral:rRNA from 1 species